UUUCCUACGGGAGGCAGCAGUGGGGGAUAUUGCACAAUGGGGGAAACCCUGAUGCAGCGACGCCGCGUGGGUGAAGAAGUAUUUCGGUAUGUAAAGCCCUAUCAGCAGGGAAGAAAGAAGACGGUACCUGACUAAGAAGCCCCGGCUAACUACGUGCCAGCAGCCGCGGUAAUACGUAGGGGGCGAGCGUUAUCCGGAUUUACUGGGUGUAAAGGGAGCGUAGACGGCCAGACAAGUCUGAAGUGAAAAUCCAGCGCUUAACGUUGGAAGUGCUUUGGAAACUGCCGGGCUAGAGUGCAGGAGGG
rnacentral:rRNA from 1 species